rnacentral:lncRNA from 1 species
GAAAGUGUGUUGUGUCCAUUAAUGACCAAAACAUGAUAUCAAACAAAAUUAUGUAAGAAAAGAUCUCGUUCAUAUUAUUUGUGCUUGACGUGGGCUCGUCUUGAGUGUAUAGUAACAUGCUGAAUGAAAUUUUAUUGAGAAGAAAGAGGAAAGGGAAAACAUAAAAAUUCAUUUAUAGCACAUAGACGCUAAUUAAAGAUCAAGCCUCAUCAAAAAAAAUUCGGCGAAAAACUCAGUGAAAAAAAAAAAAAAACAGAUAAAGAAAAAAGAAUACUCUUCUUUACAAGCGAACAGAGACGAGUGAGAACGGGAAGGAUAGAAACUAUGGAGCAUCAAAACCAAAUGAGCCCGAC